GGCAGUGUGGCCUAGUGGCUUGAGCGCUGGGCUAGGACUCUGGAGACCAGGGCUGGAUUCCCAGCUCAGCCA